ACAGCAGUAGCCGCGGUAAUACGUAGGUGGCAAGCGUUGUCCGGAAUUAUUGGGCGUAAAGGGCUCGCAGGCGGUUUCUUAAGUCUGGUGUGAAAGCCCCCGGCUCAACCGGGGAGGGUCAUUGGAAACUGGGAAACUUGAGUGCAGAAGAGGAGAGUGGAAUUCCACGUGUAGCGGUGAAAUGCGUAGAUAUCAAGAGGAACACCCAUGGCGAAGGCAGCUCGCUGGCCUAUAACUGACGCUGAGGCGCGAAAGCUGGGGGAGCAAACAGGAUUAGAUACCCCGGUAGUCCCUGUCUCUUAUAC
rnacentral:rRNA from 1 species